CGGGACUGACGGGACUCGAACCCGCAACUUCC
rnacentral:tRNA from 5 species